GAUGAACGCUGGCGGCGUGCCUAAUACAUGCCAGUCGAGCGAACAGACGAGGAGCUUGCUCCUCUGACGUUAGCGGCGGACGGGUGAGUAACACGUGGAUAACCUACCUAUAAGACUGGGAUAACUUCGGGAAACCGGAGCUAAUACCGGAUAAUAUAUUGAACCGCAUGGUUCAAUAGUGAAAGACGGUUUUGCUGUCACUUAUAGAUGGAUCCGCGCCGCAUUAGCUAGUUGGUAAGGUAACGGCUUACCAAGGCGACGAUGCGUAGCCGACCUGAGAGGGUGAUCGGCCACACUGGAACUGAGAUACGGUCCAGACUCCUACGGGAGGCAGUAGUAGGGAAUCUUCCGCAAUGGGCGAAAGCCUGACGGAGCAACGCCGCGUGAGUGAUGAAGGUCUUCGGAUCGUAAAACUCUGUUAUUAGGGAAGAACAAAUGUGUAAGUAACUAUGCACGUCUUGACGGUACCUAAGCAGAAAGCCACGGCUAACUACGU
rnacentral:rRNA from 1 species